rnacentral:lncRNA from 1 species
GCAAUUCAUUUAUAUUGUCUUUCCGUGUAUAGAUGACAAGGAAUCAGAUUCGCAGUCAUUUGAAAGGUAGAUUGUUCAAAGAAAGGUGAAAGAGAAUGUAUCAGAAAAGUUGCACCACGAUGAUUCCUAUGUUGGGCUGAGAGUUACAAAUUGCAAGAUCAGUUCCAUGGCUAGAGAGCCGGGCAUGCAAAUUGUUAGUCUAGAACUUUCCCGAACUAAUACACCUUAAGCUAAAAUCCAUAGUCCAAGGAUUUCCCCAACAAAUUGAUCACACUCCAACACUUUAAUUUAUAUAGGACCUGCAAAUACGUGAGAUAAAGGAAACAUCAUUAGUUAGGAGUCUGAAAAAAUAGAAUCAGGUUGGAUAAAGGUCGUACAGGGAAGAAAAAUGAGCAAAUUAGCCCAGAAGCAUAGUCGCGGAGGCUAACAUAACCACGGAACAAAUGUGUCAUUCAACAAUAUCCGGGCAUUAAGUGUAAUGUGAUAAAUUAUAUAACCAAUAAACAACUAUUUAUAUACCCAAAUUAUUGUUUGAAUACAUAGAUACCCAGUCCUGAUGCAAUAUUAUGCACUUUAAAUCCUAAUGGUUUAUGGUCAAAAGAAAUUAAAUAAGGCUUGAAGAUUAUCAUCAUUUGGCUAUGGCACUUUAUUCCGAGAUGAUCUCGAAUAGCAGAUUCAUAGAUGAGGCAUACAUAUUCUGUCCAUUCCAACUCAACUUAGACUAAUGAAUUUUAUUUUUUGUGGCUCGAACAAUUUUAAAGUGUUGAUAGUAAUAGUGUAGGGAAGAACAAAGCCAAGAGGAGUUAUCUAGUCUUACAAAGUAUCCGAGCC